rnacentral:rRNA from 1 species
GACGAACGCUGGCGGCGUGCUUAACACAUGCAAGUCGAACGGAAAGGCCUCUUUCGGGGGGUACUCGAGUGGCGAACGGGUGAGUAACACGUGAGUAACCUGCCCUUGACUUUGGGAUAACUUCAGGAAACUGGGGCUAAUACCGGAUAGGAGCUCCUGCUGCAUGGUGGGGGUUGGAAAGUUUCGGCGGUUGGGGAUGGACUCGCGGCUUAUCAGCUUGUUGGUGGGGUAGUGGCUUACCAAGGCUUUGACGGGUAGCCGGCCUGAGAGGGUGACCGGCCACAGUGGGACUGAGAUACGGCCCAGACUCCUACGGGAGGCAGAGGGGGGGAAUAUUGCACAAUGGGUGGAAGCCUGAUGCAGCAACGCCGUGUGCGGGAUGACGGCCUUCGGGUUGUAAACCGCUUUCGCUCAUGACGAAGCUUUGUGUGACGGUAGUGGGUAAAGAAGCACCGGCUAACUACGUG